UGUCAAUCAUAGAUUUAACAUCCAAUCAGAGAACAGAUGGGUUCGGCUGUUGUGCCUGCACUUCUACUCAGAUAUAUAACUGUGUUGUGUUGCUAUUGGAUCAUUUCAGUCACGUGACCCCCGCUACAGCCCCGUCCAGGGAAACUGUUCAUUUUUCUUAUGUACUUCAUUCACUCAUCCAUGGAAGGAAAAACAAAAAUAUGAGGAAUAAUAGGAGGAAUGAUGUGGACUUCUUCUGCCUGGCACCUUUUUUUAAACUUCCACUUGCAGUAUCUCCUCCUGUUUCUCUGAAGUUCCUCUCGUGGGUCAGCACCAGUAAAGAGAGACACUCAGCCGAAUUCUGGAUUCCUGCUCCCUCUCGAGAUCUGCUACAGUAAAUAUACUGUAGACAGUCACCUGGAUGCUCACCUUCCUGUGAACCUGGCCCCUCAGCUGCUACACUGUAACCUGCUUCGAAACGCUCCUCUCAGUCAUCACCAGACCAGAUCUUUCCCCUCGGUUGUAAAUAAAUAUAUAUUCUACUUUA